UCCUCCUCCUCCUCCUCCUGUCUGUGCUCCCUCCAUCUCUCAUUAUAACAGACAGCCGGGGCGAAUCCACUAAUGAGAGCAGGACGGGAGGACGAAGAGGAGGAGGAGGAGGAGGA